rnacentral:rRNA from 1 species
GUGUCAGCAGCCGCGGUAAUACGAAGGUGGCAAGCGUUGUUCGGAUUUACUGGGCGUACAGGGAGCGUAGGCGGUUCGGUAAGCCCUCUGUGAAAUCUCCAGGCUUAACCUGGAACAGUCGGAGGGGACUGCUGGGCUAGAGGACGGGAGAGGAGCGCGGAAUUCCCGGUGUAGCGGUGAAAUGCGUAGAGAUCGGGAGGAAGGCCGGUGGCGAAGGCGGCGCUCUGGAACGUUUCUGACGCUGAGGCUCGAAAGCGUGGGGAGCAAACAGGAUUAGAAACCCCCGUAGUCC